ACGAUUAUGUUGUUCAUUCUCCUCUUCAUUGUGUGGGGAAGGGGGAGCUCGCCCUUCUCCCCAGAGCGUUCACUGAAGGGUCAGCUCACGACAAGGCAGAUCAAUGAGAGAAAGAGAUUGGCUCGCCAUGCAUGGGGGAACUGCAGAGUGAUCACCCAGAACCCCGUGGGGUCCAGAGGUUCAGAUGCCCCCUUUGCGGGAGGGAGAUGAGGACACAGGUGAUUCUGCUGCGGGGCAGUAAAGUGGCUGCCAGGGAGGUGGAUGGACGGGGGACAGAUCCACUUGUGAAUGAUUCUCUUUGGAAACUCAACUCACCUGAGACACAGGUAUUAUAUUUAAAACGGGUUGGGCCAGGUCUGGCGUAUUCCUGAUCUUCUUUCUGCUCUGUUUCCAGAUAACAGGGAGGGGAGGGGAGUCGAUUGCUCUUUGUGGAGGGUCUGGUUUGUGCAGACAGAGGGAAAGCCCCUUCUAAGGCCUGUGGGUCUCUAAGGGCCAGUAAUUCACAAUACUCUUUGCACCAAGAGGUGACAUUGGGGGUGGAGUUUCCUGAGCUCCUUCGGUCAGGUGGGAUUAGAGCUGGCGGUCGUCACCCAUGAAUCAUUCAGGUCUCUCCUCAAAUAUCCCCUCCCAGGAGAAGCCCUCCUGGGACACACUCCCAAAAGAGCCUCCACCACAAACCCUCCCAACCACUCCCCUCGCACCCUCUUUAUUUUUCUUGUUAGAAUUAAUCUACUUAAAAAGGUUCGGUUUUAUUUACUUGUCUGUAAUCCUCUUAUAAGUUCCAGAGAGAGGAGCUCUGUGCUGCUCACGGCUGUAUCUCAGGGCCCAGAACAAAACCCAGCCCAUAAAUUCGUGCAUUUGUUGACAUAAUGAAGAAAGGAGCUCCUUUAUCCUGCAGUCUCGUUUAUUCUGCUAAGAUGUCCAAGGAUAGGCUUCCCGUCCCCCUCCUGCUUGCACCGCCCCUUCCCCUCCAGGGUGGCCCACAGGCCUUGCCUGCCUGGUGCUGACGGAGGGAGAAUCUCUCAGCCCUGCAGGUGAGUCACAGGUAGGGGGGGUCUUGCAGCCUCUCAGGUGAGUCACAGGUAGGGGGAUCUUGCAGCCUCUCAGGUGAGUCACAGGCAGGACAUCAGAUCAAGGUCAGCAAGAGAGGGCUGUAUCUCGGGGUCCAUGCUGCAGAAUCCAGGGUGCAUGGGUCAGAAAGCACCAUGCAUUCUAGGAGCUUCAGGAGAGAAUUUAACAGAGGGCCUUGGCCCCACCUGGCUGACCAACAAGCUGAGAAACCAACCGCAGUGAGGCGGCCCAGACGCCAGCAAGAUCACAACACCUUCACCACCUGGAGGGCGGAGGGGGAGAAAGGUGAGAAGGAGACAAAACUCCAAGAGGCCAGGAGGGUGGAAGUAUUUCAGCCAUUCUGCGGUGAACGGUGCAAGGUUUGUGACUCCUCCCACCACUUCUGCAGACAAUCGCUGUCGUAAAGCCCAAGACUGGUCUUUGAAGGAUUUUUCAGACUCUGCAUUCUGGGGUAACCCACUGACGCCAACCAGACCGUGGAUAGGCAUGGGGACAGACCCAACAGCCUCGAGAGUCCCCCACCCUGGAAACCUCCCAACUGAGAAGAUAACUCUGCUUCCCAACCCUGGGAGUUCACCCCCCAGUCAGCAGACCCAACUCCCCGGCCCUGUGCCCACCAAGCUCUCUUUAAAACCCUUUCUCCCAAAUUCUCGAAGAGAUGGAUUUGGGGAAUUCCUCCCAUCAGGCACCUGGAGAAACCUGCUGCAGCCCCCGCAGCCCUAGGGCUGUAUAAGAAGGAGCCACGUGACUUGGACACCCCAACGCAGGCUGUGGUCUCCAGGAGUCAGAGAGGCAUUUUGGGCAGCUCCUCCCGAUAGCCCCACAAGACAGACACCUGUCGCAGUAAAACAUUCCUCGGCAACCCUCCUUGUCUCAAUAAUGGCAUCAUUACGUGACGAGCGACUGGACCUAGGCUGAAAACCCCUUGCGGUUUCAACAACACAUUCCUCGUGGGAACUGACCCCCACCGGCCUCGCCAGCUAGACCCUCGCCUGCCCAGGACGCAAGAAGCAGGCGGGCGGGACCACACCGCAGCUUUGGCACCUAGAACAGGGGAAGCCAUGCUUGGGGUGGCUCUCUGUAGAGCCCCACACACCAAGGAGCUGAGGUCCCCCAAACACAGCCCACAGAGAACUUGGAAGUGGAUCCUUAGCCCUGGUCGAGCCUUCAGAUGGCAGCCCUGGCCAGCCACUCACCUGCAACUUCACGGGGGACCCUGAGGUGGGACCACCCGCCAGCUCACUGGCAGCUCCCUGCCCCUCAGGAGCUGUGGGAGAUGACAGACGUUGGCUGUGCUCUGGCACUUAGCCUGGGGCUGCUGUCACGCGGCUGGCACAGCUAGCAGAGGGAGUGUCCCCACCUGCGGGCCCUAAACGUUUCCUCUGGUGUCUCACGUGGUCCUGUUGUCACCACCACGUCACCACCUCCUGCUGGACCCAGCUCUGCAUCGAGCCACCUCUCCAAGGUCCCUCGCCCCCAAGUCGUCCUGUGCACCUGGGCCAGACUUGCUCCCAGGGACGCAAGGACGUUGCUGGAAACCCCAGCCUUCUUCUCUGGCCAGAGGGAAGUGAGCGUCGCUGCCUCCAGCUCCGGGACAGCGAAUCUCCUUAGAAUUCCAGCCGCGCGGCUCACCGCAACUCCCCGCAGCCCAGGUGGUGGGGAACGCGGGCUUCCCACGCGCUGGGCCGGGAGCUCGGCCCCGCACCGAGCGUGACAGGUGUCCUCGGGGCCGUCCACUACCAGGAACGGAGACAGGGAGGAGCGCUGUGCCCAAGGCGGCAUGAGCGGGACCCCAGGAGCUGGCGCCCGUCCCCAGAGCCAGGCGGCCCGAGGCCGCUCCCCAGCGCCAGGACGGGCUCCGCUGCUCAGCGCUGGGCUUGAUCAACCUACACCGUAAAGUGACACGUGUUAACCGCACAGCUCUCCAGUCCCGCCCUGUAGCAUCCCAGCCCUGACCGCCCUCCUUCACGCUGUCCCACGUCUUCUGUUUCCUGCAGUCCCAGCCAGCAGUGUCCCUGUGGGUGUAAUCGCAUCUCCACCCCUGUCUCCCGCUGACAAGGUGGGUACAUGCGCGGUCCACACCCCACGAACCUCUGCGUCCAGUGGUCGCUCAGACACAUCCUCAGUGUCCUCCUCAGAAUAAAUGAACGUCCUCAUCUUUGCAAUGCAGACAGGCUGAGAGUUUCCCAAAUCUCUACCUGCCUGUUCCUUUUUGCUUAAUCAUUCUUACAAUGUACUUCUCUCCUUUCACAUUUUAUUGUAAGCCGUAAGCCAUAAGGAGAAACCAGGCUGCACUUCCCACACUUUGCUGAGAAAUCUCCUCAGCUGAAUAUCCAGUUUCAUCGCCGAUGGUUCCACCUUCCACAAAACACCAGGACCCAGUUCAGCCCAGUGCUUUGCCUCUUUGUGACGAGGACAACCUUCCUCCAGUCCACAGCCGCCGGUCCUCACUUCCCCUGAGACCGCGGCGUGGCUUCCACAUCUGCCUGUCCUCACGCCCCGGCUCACGGUGAUAUUUGUGUUCUCCAUGACGAUUGGGCUCUCUCCAGCCCUCCUCGCUCUUCCCCUGCCUUCGCCAGAUCGUCUCUACCGCCCACAUUUCUAACAAUCCCUUCACAACCGUCGGGGCUUUUCCCAGCAGGUCCCUGAAAAGUCCUCCCAUCUCUACCUGUCACCCAGUUCCAAAGCUGCUUCUACACAUUUAGGUAUUUGUUCCUGCUCUGGCUGCCAUAGAAAAAUACAAGAGACCAGGUAUUUUGUUAAUUCAACAGACAUUCUUUCUCAGGGCCCUGGAGGCUAGAAGUCCGACGUGGUGCCUGCGUGGUUGGGUGCUGGUGGUGGGGGGGGGCUUGCAGAUGGGGUUCAGGGCUUGCAGACGGGGUUCAGGGCUUGCAGACGGGGUUCAGGGCUUGCAGACAGGAUUCAGGGCUUGCAGGACGGGGUUCAGGGCUUGCAGAUGGGAUUCAGGGCUUGCAGACAGGAUUCAGGGCUUGCAGGACAGGGUUCAGGGCUUGCAGAUGGGAUUCAGGGCUUGCAGACAGGAUUCAGGGCUUGCAGACGGGGUUCAGGGCUUGUAGACGGGGUUUAGGGCUUGCAGAUGGGGUUCAGGGCUUGCAGACAGGGUUUAGGGCUUGCAGACGGGGUUCAGGGCUUGCAGACAGGAUUCAGGGCUUGCAGACGGCUGCUUUCUCACUUGUCCUCAUGUGGUGCAGAGAGAGCAGCAGAGCUCUCUGGUGCUGUUCUUGCAAGGGCGCUAAUCGUCAGAUUAGGACCAAGGUCUAUGACCUCACUUAACCUUUAUUACUUCCUUACUCCAAAUACCGUCACAUGGUGUGUGCAGGGUGGGGCUUCAACACAUGAUUGGGGGGCUCAAACGUCCAGUCACAACUGCAUAUGAGCUGCGUGACCUUGGGCACAUCAUUUAAUACCUCUGAGCAUUUGUCAGAAGUGCCACUACAGCCUUUGUCUGCCCCAUAGGCCUCCUAAGAGGAUCAAUCAGAUGAAAUGCUUAGGAAGAUGCUGUGCAAGCUAUUAAUAUUAGAAACUGUGCAAACAUCCACUAAAUAAGAAGAAAGAAAAAUGUCAGCUCGCUCUCCAGUGUAAGGAGUGUGAAACACUGCAAACCGGAAUCAUCUGGUCGUUGUGAUUUUCCUGUACUUCUCCUUUAGAAGAAAAAAGCAAAUGGCCAUAAAAGAGAAAUCAUAUUUUUUAAAAAAUCUAGGGUAACAGCGUGAGUCCUCCUUGGUCAAUUUCCCACAUUCCCACCAGACAAUGAGAAAUGAGUUCAGACUCUCAUUAAAAUUAUAACAAUAACAACAAGGUCCGCUAGGUUAACCGUGGGCUGGAUCGUUUCAGAAAGCGUUUCGCAGCCUCGCUGGGGCGAGGGCAGCUCUGUGUGAUGAGCAGGCGCAGCUGACCCCGGCCUCGCGCCUUGAACGUGCUGAUGCCACGCGGCUGCGCCCAGCACACUUGUGUUGCUGUGUCAGGCAGGUGUCACAUGGAUGGGAAAAACCACCAGAAAGCAAUUUUUAAAACCUUCUGUGUGAACAAACAUAACCUUCUAUUUUUUGACAGCGACUGUUUCUCAGACUUCUCCCUAUCCAUCUAACAAUUUCCCCCAUCAUCAUCAUCUUUAUAUUUGUGCAAUUGGAAUCUACAGGCCUGUCUUCUUAUCGGUGGCAGUCCAUGUUCAGAAUUGUCCAGGUACAAAAUGUACAGAAAAUGGUUGAUAGUUACCAGGGAGAAAGAAAACUAUUAUCCUAAACUAGAUUCCAGGAACUCGAGAAAAGAGUGGCUUCCGGUGAGCAGAGCACAGCAGAAAAACGGUGCAAGGCUGGGCAGAAAUCUCACGCUGUCUGGGCUUCUGCUCCCUCAAGGGGGCUGAGUCGCCCAGGCAGUGUUUGUGCCCCUGCAGACAGACGCAGAGCAAUUGUGUCCUUGCUGUAGUUGUGUUGUCAUUUUUUAACCAGCACUAGAACAUGCGCUUUCUUAACAGAAUGUUCCUGAACUGAGAUCCUGAAACUAGUUAUGUUUCUCACUCAUCUUCAUGUUUUUCACACUUAAUGUUAUUCCCUAGAAAGCUAAAGCAUUCAUGGCUGUCAGCGCAGGGCAAGGGUGGGACAACUUCACAGAGAGAAGUGGGUAAGACAGCCCCCCGGAACCAAGUGUCUCCUCGACGGGGCAAAGACAGGGCUCGGCACAGUGAGUUCAUCCCCGGAAUGGCUCACAUCACAAAUUGAGCGUGAAGAAAAAAUCCAAGGAAUGAGGAAAUGUCUUCCACCCCGUACUGGGUUUAGCACUUGCUAGCCGGCAGCCACUGUGCAGACUUCGCCCUUGCCUUGCCCAACCCAGUUUAUGAUAAAUCCACUAAUCUCAAAGAACCAGGAACCAGACUGGAUUACCGAGGGUGGCGUGGCCUCUUCUUGCCUUUGCCCCCC